rnacentral:rRNA from 1 species
UACGUAGGAUGCGAGCGUUAUCCGGAAUUACUGGGUGUAAAGGGAGCGCAGGCGGGACUGCAAGUUGGAUGUGAAAUGCCGCAGCUUAACUGCGGAGCUGCAUCCAAAACUGUAGUUCUUGAGUGGAGUAGAGGCAAGCGGAAUUCCGAGUGUAGCGGUGAAAUGCGUAGGUAUUCGGAGGAACACCAGUGGCGAAGGCGGCUUGCUGGGCUCUAACUGACGCUGAGGCUCGAAAGUGUGGGGAGCAAACAGG